rnacentral:rRNA from 1 species
CCGAGCGUUGUCCGGAUUUAUUGGGCGUAAAGCGAGCGCAGGCGGUUAGAUAAGUCUGAAGUUAAAGACUGUGGCUUAACCAUAGUACGCUUUGGAAACUGUUUAACUUGAGUGCAAGAGGGGAGAGUGGAAUUCCAUGUGUAGCGGUGAAAUGCGUAGAUAUAUGGAGGAACACCGGUGGCGAAAGCGGCUCUCUGGCUUGUAACUGACGCUGAGGCUCGAAAGCGUGGGGAGCAAAC